rnacentral:lncRNA from 1 species
CUAAAACAGGCAUUGCUUUUUUUCACGGAAACGACUAAAUUAAACGUCCUGAAGCUCGACAGCCAUAUUGUUUACAGAAAACAAAUGACUAGUUGCGAGAGUCCCCCUUUCAUUGUUCAGCAGAAUAUCCUCUGGGAAAUUUUCAGCCUUGGAUUUUCUUUUUUCUUUUUUUCACGGGAUAAUGACGGGAAACCAUAUGAAAGGCUGGACGCGCGGGCCUCUCUGCCUCCUGAUUGGCCCGCUGGCGUUUCAAACCCGAGCGCGAUUGGUCAAUCAGAACGUCACUCACCGAGCGCCCUGGACCCUCGAGUUCGAAACUUUUCGAAAAGCUGGAGUCGGGUUACAAACUCUGGUAACCGAACGCGAAAAGAGAGGAGAGGAAAACGCGUGAAUUAUUCACAUCAGCUGCGCAGACGCAACACAUACCUGUCGGACACACUUUACUCUUUUCAUAUGAUAUUUUCACGCCUUAUGCAUGCGGCUCUAGGUAGUUUUUUUGGCUGUCAGGGCAGUCUAGAUGGAGGUUUGAAGAAAGAAAGUUAUUCUUUAGACGCCCAGUAUCCGGUUCAAGUAGAGGAGAGGUGGUCCAGAAGAUAG